UCCUGGGGUCCCGUAACCCGCAGGGAGCGCGAACCCUCUGUGCGCUAUGAUUGGGCUACUGCCCCAGGGACGCGAACGGACCUCAAGGUGUGGACGGGCUGUAAGAGUCGUCAGCCUUCUCUGGCUGGCUCCCACCUCCAGCCCUCACUUCCAGGUGAUCUGUGUUCAACUGGAGGAUUGCUGAGGUUAACGCUGCCUUAAGGACUCUGAAAAGAGGACGGGGGUUACUCAAAAGUUGGAAGCCCAGAACUGUUCUUGGAGGCCCACGGAAGACCUGGAAUCAGCCUCCCCAUUUCUCCAGUCGGUAUGUUGCCUCCUUUGCAGUUGAGAGCAUCAGUCACGAGCAGCGAGAUCUGGAAGAAAAUCUACGGAGAUAGUAUAAGAAAUGAUCUAAUGAUUAACGUGGCUGUGCCCCUUUAAGAACAUUUUGUUAAACAUUUCUAUCUACUCCUUAACAUCAUUUUUUUUUUCCUUAAGCCAUUGUUUUCUUCCCUUCAUCAUUUUUAUAAGUAGCAAAAAUCCAGCUUUCUUCCUGUCUCAAGAUAGACAUAGUGGAGACUGAUGUAGGGAGAGAAAACAGUAAGAAAAAAGAAUUCCUCUCCACUUGAUUCAGGAGGACCUCCAUAGUUCAGGCCCUUCAAGGCACAAAAUAAAAGUAAGAAUUAGGAACUCAG